UCCCAGAGGUCUUCUGAAGGUAAGCAAUUUCUUUUCUUUGUUUCUGUGUGUUUGUGUGUGGCUGUUGCAUGUUAGCAACUUGCUGUAGUCUAGGACUUUGCUGCUCUGCUGUUAUUGUGUUUUUCACUGCAUCACAGCAUUGCACCCACCUUCUGUUUUCCCACUCCAUUUUUUCUUCUUUCUAUCCUGUUUAUAGUACUACUCUUGGAUGUGUUAGCAGUCAAGAUAAAGAUCAAUGCAAAUACUAAAGCAUCCAUGUGUUUUGAUUUUUUUUUUAUCAAGCAAAAUGUUUAUUUCUGUAACUAAUUUUAGUUGUUUCCUUCAUCAUAUUCUCAGUUAUGGUAUGUUGACAAAGUGGGGACAUAUGUGGUUUGAGGACACCCAUGCAGGUACUCAACAAGGCACCUUCAAUGUGGGGGCAGUUGAGUUGCCUGUCUGUACUGCAUUGUGACAGCUGUUGUUUGAAGGCUUCCUGGCCCACCCUUUUCUACUGUGGGCUGGUGCUUUUCACCAGAUUACACUUACUUUGUAAUGCAUCACCAUUGAUCUCUCUCUCUCACCCAUCUCUCAGGGCCAUGAGAGCUGUGUUCUUGCAGUUGCACUGUGCAACUUAGCCUGGAAAGCUGCUAGAUAAUGCAACUGCAGCUUUAUUUUUGAAUGUGACAAGGAGGGUUGAAAAGGAUAUUAAACCGUAGGCUUUAGACCUUUAAGCCAGAUUGUAGCUGACUCGGGUCAGAAUGGGGGUGAACAAGUAUGUUUUUCCCAUACUGUGGUAUGUGACUUCACUGUGCUGCAUCAGAGAAGUGGUCCCUGGAUGCCCCGUGUCCAAGCAGCACAGAACAGCUUCCAUAGCAGCAACUGAUCAGCUAGUGUUCAUCCCUGCAAUUAAUAACAUUGUCAACCCUGCUGAUAAUGUUAUUAAUCACAGGGUGGCAGUGCAUAAAUGUUUCAGCCUAAUGAGCAUUCAAAAUUCUAAUGUCCUCAGUGCUGUCCAAUCAUGAAUGCACACUUCCUACCUGAAAUUAUUUCCAAUAGCUCUGCUGGAGUAUUGGAUUGCUAAGUAACAUCUAUAUUUAUACUUACUGCUUUUGUUUAUUUCAGGUAGCAUUUUUGGAGAGCCAGGUGUUACACUCUUUCCAGGAAUCAGUCUUCCUGAGAGAGUGGGCUCCAUUAUGUUCAGGAGCAGAAUGAAAAUGAAAUCAUCAUUAGUCGGAUUGAUUCGGUGUCUGAAUACACAUUGUACCAUGAGGAUCCUCUUACCCUGAGCCAAAGUCUGUCAAAGUCAAUUCCAACAGCUGAUGAGGCCCUUCAGGAUAGGUCAGUUUUUUCCUUGAAAUCCCAUCAUGGCAACUUCUGCAUUUGAUGAGUAUUACCAGCACAGAUAGACGCACCAUGGAGGGAAUCCCAGCCACACAGAAAAAAUGUAAUUCCUCUGCCAUGAUCAUGUGAAUGCUUUCUCCCUUUCACUUCUUAUCAGCACCUCAGGCUCCCAUUCCAUAGAAGCCUCUUUUCUGCAUGCUUAGUCACUGCUUCUUCCUCCCAGAGUAAAACCUACCUACAUUUUUCUUGUUACGGUGUUUGAGAGGGCCAUGAACCAACUCUCCAGCUUGCUCUGUGGGAACAUUUUGUGCCUUUUCACUUCUCUUCUGCAUUAGGGAGUACGCAGUGAAGGACUUGAGAGGCCAGGGGAGGUCAGGAUAAAGUUUCGUGCACCCUUUGCACCGCUCGUGUACUAAAAGCAAGGUUGUUGUUGGUUGGUUGGUUGGUUGGUUGGGUUUUUUUUUUAGCAAAGGGCUGUACUCAGUAUGCAACGGUUUCAGUGCAGCUUUAGAAAUUGCGCUUCGCCGACGUCGCA